UGCCAGCAGCCGCGGUAAUACGGAGGGUCCAAGCGUUAUCCGGAAUCAUUGGGUUUAAAGGGUCCGUAGGCGGUUUUGUAAGUCAGUGGUGAAAGCCCAUCGCUCAACGGUGGAACGGCCAUUGAUACUGCAAGACUUGAAUUAUUGGGAAGCAACUAGAAUAUGUAGUGUAGCGGUGAAAUGCUUAGAGAUUACAUGGAAUACCAAUUGCGAAGGCAGGUUGCUACCAAUAUAUUGACGCUGAUGGACGAAAGCGUGGGGAGCGAACAGGAUUAGAUACCCUGGUAGUCCACGCCGUAAACGAUGGAUACUAGCUGUUCGGAGCAAUCUGAGUGGCUAAGCGAAAGUGAUAAGUAUCCCACCUGGGGAGUACGUUCGCAAGAAUGAAACUCAAAGGAAUUGACGGGGGCCCGCACCAC
rnacentral:rRNA from 1 species